UAGAGACCAACUAAAUUCUUGGUACAAGCUUUCUUGUGCAUGCACACUUCUUCAGAUACACUGAAACAGAAGUCACCAGACCCUUAUAUAUAGUGAUUUCAGUUCCAGUGUAUCUGAAGAAGUGUGCAUGCACACGAAAGCUUAUACCAAGAACAAACUUAGUUGG